rnacentral:rRNA from 1 species
UACUGGCCGGCAGCCUUCCCAUGCAGUCGAGGCGGGGAGGUUAGCUUGCUACCGGACCUAGCGGCGGACGGGUGAGUAAUGCUUAGGAAUCUGCCUAUUAGUGGGGGACAAGCAUCUCGAAAGGGAUGCUAAUACCGCUAUACGUCCUACGGGAGAAAGCAGGGGAAUCUCCGAACCUUGCGCUAAUAGAUGAGCCUAAGGUCGGAUAAGCUAGUUGGUGGGGGUAAAGGCCUACCAAGGCGACGAUCUGUAGCGGGGUCCUGAGAGGAUGAUCCGCCACACUGGGACUGAGACACGGCCCAGACUCCUACGGGAGGCAGCAGUGGGGGAAUAUUGGACAAUGGGGGGAAACCUGAUCCAGCCAUGCCGCGUGUGUGAAGAAGGCCUUAUGGUUGUAAAGCACUUUAAGCGAGGAGGAGGCUACUUUAGUUAAUACCUAGAGAUAGUGGACGUUUACUCGCAGAAUAAGCACCGGCUAACUCUGUGCCAGCAGCCGCGGUAAUACAGAGGGUGCGGAGCGUGAAUCGGAUUUACUGGGCGUAAAGCGUGCGCACCGCGGCUUAUUAAGUCGGAUGUGAAAUCCCCGAGCUUAACUUGAGAAUUGCAUUCGAUACUGGUGAGCUAGAGUAUGGGAAAGGAUGGUAAAAUUCCAGGUGUAGCGGUGAAAUGCGUAGAGAUCUGGAGGAAUACCGAUGGCGAAGGCAGCCAUUCUGGCCUAAUACUUGACGCUGAGGUACGAAAUGCAUGGGGGAGCAAACAGGAUUAGAUACCCUGGUAGUCCAUGCCGUAAACGAUGUCUACUAGCCGUUGGGGCCUUUGAGGCUUUAGUGGCGCAGCUAACGCGAUAAGUAGACCGCCUGGGGAGUACGGUCGCAAGACUAAAACUCAAAUGAAUUGACGGGGGCCCGCACAAGCGGUGGAGCAUGUGGUUUAAUUCGAUGCAACGCGAAGAACCUUACCUGGCCUUGACAUACUAGAAACUUUCCAGAGAUGGAUUGGUGCCUUCGGGAAUCUAGAUACAGGUGCUGCAUGGCUGUCUCAGCUCCGGUGCCCUCCCC